AACGAACGCUGGCGGCAGGCCUAACACAUGCAAGUCGAACGAACCUUCGGGUUAGGGUGGCGCACGGGUGCGUAACACGUGGGAAUAUACAUUUCGGUAAGGAAUAACACAGAGAAAUUUGUGCUAAUACCUUAUAAUGACUCCGGUCCAAAGAUUUAUCGCCGAAGGAUUAGCCCGCGCUAGAUUAGUUUGUUGGUGAGGUAAGAGCUCACCAAGACUACGAUCUAUAGCUGGUCUUAGAGGAUGAUCAGCCACACUGGAACUGAGACACGGUCCAGACUCCUACGGGAGGCAGCAGUGAGGAAUAUUGGACAAUGGGGGCAACCCUGAUCCAGCCAUGCCGCGUGAAUGAAGAAGGCCUUAGGGUUGUAAAAUUCUUUCAGAUGCGAAGAUAAUGACGGUACCAUCAGAAGAAGCUCCGGCUAAAUUCGUG
rnacentral:rRNA from 1 species